rnacentral:rRNA from 1 species
CAAUAGGACUCUGCUUCUAAUUGUCUCUCACGAGACUAGCGACUUGGUUGCUACUUUAAGACUUGACCUCAAAUCAGGUAGGACUACCCGCUGAACUUAAGCAUAUCAAUAAGCGGAGGAAAAGAAACUAACAAGGAUUCCCCUAGUAACUGCGAGUGAAGCGGGAAAAGCUCAAAUUUAAAAUCUGGCGGUCUCCGGCCGUCCGAGUUGUAAUUUAGAGAAGCGUUAUCCGUGCUGGACCGUGUAUAAGUCUCCUGGAAUGGAGCGUCAUAGAGGGUGAGAAUCCCGUCUUUGACACGGACUACCAGUGCAUUGUGAUGCGCUCUCGACGAGUCGAGUUGUUUGGGAAUGCAGCUCAAAAUGGGUGGUAAAUGCCAUCUAAAGCUAAAUAUUGGCGAGAGACCGAUAGCGAACAAGUACCGUGAGGGAAAGAUGAAAAGAACUUUGGAAAGAGAGUUAAACAGUACGUGAAAUUGUCGAAAGGGAAACGGUUGCAGUCAGUCGCGUCUGCCGGGGAUCAACCUUGCUUUUGCUUGGCGUAUUUCCCGGUAGAUGGGUCAGCAUCAGUUUUGAUUGCAGUUGAAAGGCAGUUGGAAUGUGGCACCUUCGGGUGUGUUAUAGCCUUCUGUCAUAUGCUGCGGUUGGGACUGAGGAACUCAGCACGCCGAAAGGCCGGGAUUCGUCCACGUUCGUGCUUAGGAUGCUGGCAUAAUGUCUGUAACCGACCCGUCUUGAAACACGGACCAAGGAGUCUAACAUGCACGCGAGUGUUUGGGUGGCAAACCCGAGCGCGUAAUGAAAGUGAAAGUUGAGACCUCUGUCGUGGAGGGCAUCGACG